rnacentral:rRNA from 1 species
GACAGGGGAUGCACGCGUUAUCCGGAAUGAUUGGGCGUAAAGCGUCUGUAGGUGGCUUUUUAAGUCUGACGUCAAAUCCCAGGGCUCAACCCUGGCCAGGCGGUGGAGACUACUAAGAUGGAGUACGGUAGGGGCAGAGGGAAUUUCCGGUGGAGCGGUGAAAUGCGUAGAUAUCGGAAAGAACACCAAGGGCGAAGGCACUCUGCUGGGCCGAAACUGACACUGAGAGACGAGAGCUAGGGGAGCAAAUGGG